rnacentral:rRNA from 1 species
GCUAAACGCGAAGAACCUUACCACCUUUUGACAUGCCCGGAUCACUCCAGAGAUGGAGCUUUCCCUUCGGGGACCGGUGCACAGGUGCUGCAUGGCUGUCGUCAGCUCGUGUCGUGAGGUGUUCGGGUUAAGUCCCGCAACGAGCGCAACCCUCGCCCUUAGUUGCCACCAUUUAGUUGGGAACUCUAAGGGGACCGCCGGUGGUAAGCCGGAGAAGGUGGGGAUGACGUCAAGUCCUCAUGGCCCUUACAGGGUGGGCUACACAACGUGCUACAAUGGCGACUACAGAGGGCUGCAAUCCCUGCGAAGGGGAGCCAAUCCUUAAAAAGUCGUCUCAGUUCGGAUUGCACUCUGCAAACUCGAGUGC